AAUCAACGCUGGCGGCGUGCCUAACACAUGCAAGUCGAACGCGACUGAGGGCUUCGGCUCUCAGUUGAGUGGCGAACGGGUGAGUAACACGUGGGUGACCUACCUUCGAAUGGGGGAUAACGUCCCGAAAGGGACGCUAAUACCGCAUAACAUCCUGCCUUUGAACAGGUGGAGAUCAAAGCCGGGGAUCGUAAGACCUGGCGUUUGAAGAGGGGCCCGCGUCCGAUUAGCUGGUUGGNGGGGUAACGGCUCACCAAGGCGACGAUCGGUAGCCGGCCUGAGGAGGG
rnacentral:rRNA from 1 species